UUCGUCACUACUAUCGUAGUGAUUAUAUUUCGUCACUACUAUCUCUGUGACGAA
ensembl:miRNA gmo-mir-11246 gmo-mir-11246